GAAUCAUCAUAACCAAAAACAAGCUCCAGGUAAAUUCUAUUAUACCCUUUCUUGAAAUUUAUUCUCUGCUUUUAAUAUGUGCUCUGCCAGCAAAAUAUAUUGAUGGGUUGCUAUUGAUUUUUGUAUAGUGGUAUAUCCUCCACCACCCACUUCAUAUCCACCAAGUGAGGUCCAAGGCCGCCAUCAAGGUCCUUUUGUUGCUCC
rnacentral:misc_RNA from 1 species